CAGUAGGACUUUCGUUUGUAUUUGACAAAUAUUGUCCAAUCAUAGCCUAACUAGGCUCAAAAGAUUCAUCUCACAAAUUACAUGCAAACCGUGUAAUUAGUUAUCUUUUUUACCUAUAUUUAAUGCUCCAUGCAUGUGCCGCAAGAUUCGAUGUGACGGGAAAUCUGAAACAUUUUGUAAAAUAUUUGGGGAAGUAAACAAAGUCUUAGUUCACCCAAAAACCAAAAACUUUUUAAUAUUUCUCAUCACAUCGAAUAUUGCGACA
rnacentral:lncRNA from 1 species